rnacentral:rRNA from 1 species
CCUACGGGAGGCAGCAGUGAGGAAUAUUGGUCAAUGGACGAGAGUCUGAACCAGCCAAGUAGCGUGAAGGAUGACUGCCCUAUGGGUUGUAAACUUCUUUUAUAUGGGAAUAAAAUGUUCCACGUGUGGGAUUUUGUAUGUACCAUAUGAAUAAGGAUCGGCUAACUCCGUGCCAGCAGCCGCGGUAAUACGGAGGAUCCGAGCGUUAUCCGGAUUUAUUGGGUUUAAAGGGAGCGUAGGGGGAUUGUUAAGUCAGUUGUGAAAGUUUGCGGCUCAACCGUAAAAGUGCAGUUGAAACUGGCAGUCUUGAGUACAGUAGAGGUGGGCGGAAUUCGUGGUGUAGCGGUGAAAUGCUUAGAUAUCACGAAGAACUCCGAUUGCGAAGGCAGUUCACUGGACUGCAACUGACACUGAGGCUCGAAAGUGUGGGUAUCAAACAGGAUUAGAUACCCGGGUAGUC